AAGCGUUUUUAUUUGGUUUAAACAUGAUUACAAUGAUUACAAAGACAUCUCAUCUACGGUGUAUCCUAACAAUAGUAACAUGUUUAACUGUGAAUUGGACAAAGAUAUAAUUUGGAUAAAAAAUAAGGUAGUUAGCUGUAUAGUAUAACUCGCUUUUAAUGCUACAAUAUUGUAUCUUGUUUGGUAACAAGUUAGCUAGAUUUGACACACAUUUAACACCACUGUCAGCACAAAGCUAGACAGCAGCAUACCCAAAAUAUACACCAAAACGGGCGAUAAAGGUUUCUUUAGCACUUACACUGGAGAGAGAAGACCCAAGGAAGAUCAUGUGUUUGAAGCAUUGGGAACAACAGAUGAGCUGUCGAUCAGCAAAAGGAUUCAGUGUGUCUUACAAGAUGUGGGAUCCAACAUUACCACACUUCUGUCAUCUGCAAGAGAAAGAUAAAGAAAAGCAAGUUCCGUUCCCAGCCAGUGGCAGACCUGGAAAGCUGUCGACGCAUUCACAGAGGGGCUGCCACCACUGGCAAACUUUAUAUUACCUAUUGAGCAACUACCUGUUUCCAGUGGCCAGGUACACAGCCAUGAAAUAAGGUAAUGAGGAGAAAAUCUACAAAAGACCUGAAUGACACAUCUACACAUGAAUGAACAUACUGGGGAACUUUGAAACAACAUUUAUUCUGUUUAAGGAUUGAAUUCAUCAUUGGCAUAUGUAAAAGACAGAUUGAUGGUAUACGCUUGAAUAUCUCAUAAUGGAACUGCCCCUACAUUUCAAAUAAAGACUUGAAUCAA